AUGGUGGUGAGGAAGUGUAGGGAAGCUCUGCUGUGGAUACACAGGUUGCUAUUGCCUGGGCUGAUAAUGGGCUACCAUCUGCGGACGUUGCAGUUCAUUAUGGACCACGAUGCAAAAGAAGAGCCUGGCAUGUCCACAGCAAAGAACUUGCUCAUGGCAGCUGGGUGGGCAAGCGCUGCAGAGCCCAGGCUCCCUGGCAAAGUGUGCAGAGGGUCCAGACUCUUGCUAGUCCCCGAGAGUAAAUUUUGCUGCAUCUGCACAGUGGAGGACUCAUCUCCAUGCCACGGCAGAGAGAUGGAUGUGAUGGACUGAACUGAUGUUCCUCCGGGUCACGCCUGGCUGAGACAGGUUGCUGUCAGCCUGACUUCAGCAUCCCCUGGGAUUUGGGACCUAAGCCUGAGCUGGUGGGCAGCGGAUGAGCAGCCACCAGCCAUGAGGCACAUAAAUGACCUAUUUCUGGGGAAGAAAGAAGCAAAAAAGGGGGGCAGAGCAUGUUUGGGCUGUGAUAUUGAACUGUCUGCAGCACCUCCCCAGUGGGAAAAUUACCCUGAGCAUCACCCUGGGCUUGCUUUCUGUGCUGACUUCCUAGAAAGAUUUUUAAUAUUUUGUUUUAAAAGCUCACUCACAUUUCACUGAUUGAUGCCCUUGCUGAAGCUUUAGUGAUCAGAUGAUGUAGCUCAAGGGAUGUCAGGCUGUUACCAUCAAAAAUGUCUCAGUCUGUGUCACAGAUGUGGCUGGCUGUGACCGAGGCAGCAAGGGAUACACUGAAAGCCUCCUGAAACCUUGCAAUGGAGCUGCAGGGCUGAAGACACACGUGGCCUGGGGCUGCAGACAGUGCCUUCCAUCAUACAAACACACACACACAGGAAAAGCAUUUAAAAGCUAAAGGAGACAACCAUCUCAAAAGGGGGGUAAAGACAACAGAAAUUAUUAAAAAGUCCCUCUGAUGUUUAAGCACUCAAUAAUGUAUAAACUAUAUUGCUUUCCAAUAAAGGCAGAAAAAAAAGGAGUAAGAAUAAGGCU
ensembl:lncRNA